rnacentral:rRNA from 1 species
AGUAGCGCACUGGUGAGUAACACGUGGGAACGUACCUUUUGGUGGGGAACAACAGUUGGAAACGACUGCUAAUACCGCAUAAGCCCUGAGGGGGAAAGAUUUAUCGCCGAAAGAACGGCCCGCGGAAGAUUAGGUAGUUGGUGGGGUAACGGCCUACCAAGCCGACGAUCUAUAGCUGGUCUGAGAGGACGAUCAGCCACAUUGGAACUGAGACACGGUCCAAACUCCUACGGGAGGCAGCAGUGAGGAAUAUUGGGCAAUGGAGGCAACUCUGACCCAGCCAUGCCGCGUGAGUGAAGAAGGUUUUCGGAUUGUAAAGCUCUUUCGGGUGUGACGAUGAUGACGGUAGCACCUAAAGAAGCCCCGGCUAACUUCGUGCCAGCAGCCGCGGUAAUACGAAGGGGGCAAGCGUUGUUCGGAAUUACUGGGCGUAAAGGGAGUGUAGGCGGUUAUGUAAGAUAGUGGUGAAUCCCAGAGCUUAACUUUGGAAUUGCCAUUAUGACUAUGUGGCUAGAAUUACAGAGAGGAUAGUGGAAUACCCAGUGUAGAGGUGAAAUUCGUAGAUAUUGGGUAGAACACCAGUGGCGAAG